GAGUGCCGCGGGRRCAGMUCHDUUUGAAAUCUGGCCUCUUUGGGGUCCGAGUUGUAAUUUGUAGAGGAUGUUUCGGGCACCGCUCCGGUUUAAAUUUCUUGGAACAGAAUGUCAAAGAGGGUGAGAACCCCGUCUUGGACCGGCAGUAGGGCCCAUGUGAAACUCCUUCGACGAGUCGAGUUGUUUGGGAAUGCAGCUCAAAAUGGGUGGUAAAUUUCAUCUAAAGCUAAAUAUUGGCCAGAGACCGAUAGCGCACAAGUAGAGUGAUCGAAAGAUGAAAAGCACUUUGAAAAGAGAGUUAAACAGUACGUGAAAUUGUUGAAAGGGAAGCGCUUGCAACCAGACUUGCGCGCGGCGGUUCCCCCUUCCUUUUGGUUGGGUUAUUCCGCCGUGUCCAGGCCAACAUCGGUUCUGGGGGUCGGUUAAAGGCCUGGGGAAUGUAUCUACCCUUCGGGCGUAGACUUAUAGCCCCGGGUGUCAUGCGACCUCCCGGGACCGAGGAACGCGCUUCGGCUCGGAUGUUGGCGUAAUGGUUGUCAGCGACCCGUCUUGAAACACGGACCAAGGAGUCUAACAUCUAUGCGAGUGUUUGGGUGUCAAACCCGGAACGCGGAAUGAAAGUGAACGGAGGUAGGAAGCUUCGGCUGCACUAUCGACCGAUCCUGAUGUCUUCGGAUGGAUUUGAGUAAGAGCAUAGCUGUUGGGACCCGAAAGAUGGGUGAACUAUGCCUGAAUAGGGUGAAGCCAGAGGAAACUCUGGUGGAGGCUCGCAGCGGUUCUGACGUGCAAAUCGAUCGUCAAAUUUGGGUAUAGGGGCGAAGACUAAUCGACCAUUAAAAAGUUACCGGKGGUUAAGUGUAACCKUGAAAGCGGUUGCAGUGCCAGGUUCUGCGCGACACUKUCAAUGCGGGGACUUCCUAAGCUUYCVA
rnacentral:rRNA from 1 species